CGCUGGCGCCCGGGCUAUAAACCCCGCCUCCCCGCCCCUCCCCGCGACUCCGCAGCACGUGACCCGCGGCGGCACGUCCCAGUGAGGGCCGGGUCCCAGCGAGACGGUGUACUGCUUGGAUUAUUUGAGCAAACAAGUCAUCGCCCGGGGCCAGUUGAUUUUCCAGUGAACCUACAGAGGACAAAGGGGACGUUUUUCCUUGGCCUCUACAGGAGGUUCCCUUUAGAUAAGAGUCUAAAAGAAAAAUAGCACAAGACUUGGCCUCCCUUGAACACCUGUCAUCAGUGAAAAGGAAGAUCACAUUGUCUCUGAAUUUCUGGAAAGUCAGGAUUCAUUAAAGAAGGCAAUGCUUGCUUGCCCCUGCCUCCUCCCAGCCCAGUCCUGCAGGUUCAUACCUGUCUGGCCAGCGAUGACCAUGGGCUGCACAGACAGCUGGAAGAGCUUGUCCAGCACCAGGUGCAGGAAGAGCACGAGUGGCUCCAGGUGGGAGGAGUUCAGGCAGAUGAUGCUGAGCUUCAGCUCGUGCUCCAGUGCCGUCUCACUAAUCUUCUGAUCCAGUACGCGGAUGGGGAAGGUCACCUGGCUCUCCAGGGAGUGGCAGAGGGUGAAGAACUUCUCCAGGUGGUUGUCCUGGGAAGGAAGAAGGCAGGGCUCAUGGGGUUUUGUCCCAUCAAUGUUCACCAGUGGAUUCAUAAACACAACCAAAUAGCUCUUUAUGGGUAGCACCUCUUAGCCAGGUUUCAAACCAGAAGUCCUAAGAUAUGACGUUUUAGACUGAGGUUAUGAACUUCUUUGUAAAAUGAGGUGCACAAGAUUGGACGUUUCAUUAAUUAUUAGCUAAAGAAAAAAUAAUUUAGGCUCUGAAAUGUUCUGUAAGCAGAGGUCAGCAUAACAGGUAAGUAUGCAGAACUCAGACAGUGGCAGGCAAAGGAGGGAGAAUGGAAUUUCUUUUUAAAGUCUGGUAAAGUACCAGAAUUACAGAGGGAAAAGAGAUAACAGCAGAUGAGAGUUUCAAAUCAAGUCUCCCUGCGAAGUUUCUCAAGCAACGGUGCAGGUACCAGGUUCUUUCCUUUCUGUGCUCAGUGGUUUUGUAAGGUCUUUCUAUUCCAAUGACAAAUGAAACCUAAACAGAUUUGCAUGUUCCCACAAAGAAUUACAAGAUUGCUUUUUA